UGACAAGAAAUAACAAUACAGGGCUAUUUUAGUCUUGUAAUUGGAAUGAGUACAAUUUACAUCUCUUCACGAGGAUCAAUUGGAGGGCAAGUCUGGUGCCAGCAGCCGCGGUAAUUCCAGCUCCAAUAGCGUAUAUUAAAGUUGUUGCAGUUAAAACGCUCGUAGUCGGAUUUCGGGGCGGGCCCGCCGGUCUGCCGAUGGGUAUGCACUGGCGGGCGCGUCCUUCCUCCCGGAGACGGCUGCUACUCUUAACUGAGCGGUGGUCGGAGACGGGAUAUUUACUUUGAAAAAAUCAGAGUGUUUCAAGCAGGCAGUCGCUCUUGCAUGGAUUAGCAUGGGAUAAUGAAAUAGGACUCUGGUGCUAUUUUGUUGGUUUCGAGCACCGGAGUAAUGAUUAACAGGGACAGUCAG
rnacentral:rRNA from 1 species